rnacentral:lncRNA from 1 species
UAGUAUCUGAGGAAGCUCGGAUCUUGAAAGGUAUGAUUUUGUUUCUCCUACUCUUUUUUUGACUAAUAAUCUAUGCACAAGAACGGUCUUGGUUUAUGGUUUGUAAGAAAUUUUAAAAUCCAUUUUUAUAUCACUUCCGCUUUAUUUAUGUGAUUUGAUUACAUGCCCUUAUUUCUAGCAAACCUAAUAGUGGUAUCAGAGCCAAUCUUGUGCUAAUUAAAAGUCUUUGUGAUUCCAUAUAUGUUUAAUAUGCGAUUGGAUCGGAUUUUUAGGCAACAUAAAAGUUUUCUGUUUUUGCGACGUGGCGCAGCUGUGUCGUCUCCAGUUCAUUCUGGAACGUAGAUGCGCCGUGUACCAGAUCCAGUUUCCUGAUGAGUAGCGCAGCUGUGCUGUGUCCCAGUUCAUUCUGGGCGCAGCUGCGCCAUUACUUGAAAAUCAGUUUCUGGCCUUGAAGUGCAGCUACGCUGUAUUCUAGUUCAUUCUGGGCGUAGCUGUGCCCUUGGACAUAAUUUGAAAAACUUUUGUUUUUCUUUAAUUAAAUAAAUUAUUUAUUUAAUUGAUAAAAGUUUAAAAUAAAGGUAUUUAUUUUAUCGGAAAUAUGAUUUCAGAUUGCUAAAAUUAAAGAGUUUAAUUUGGAUUUGCUUUUUGAUUAAAAUAAAAGAGUUUAUUUUGUUUCAAAACUAAAGUUUAGCAAACUUUUACCCAUUAAUUUAUAUUAAUGCAUAUAUGGAAUAGAUUUUUUUGGAAAGAUGAAUGUUAUUUAUUGAUACAUAUGUUGAUUAGUAUGAUAAUAACUAUGAUUGAUUAUGGACUAUGACUAAUGUGAUUGGAUUUAUUUUAGAUGGAUGCUUGAAUGUAUAGGUUUUAUUAAAUGGGGUCUGCGUACAUCGUCUUUUCUGGUUUUCUUCUUGUUGUAAAUUCUAUCUCGCUUCUAUGUACUUCCCCUUGACUACUGAUCUAGGUUUCUAUUUCAAUGAAAUAGUUUAUGUAAUAGGAUUAGUUAGAAUUUCUCGAAGAACUGGAGAUCAAGGAGCAAGGAACGCUUGAAAACCGUUUUGUAACGGAGCCGAGUUUAAAUGUGAUAGUUAUAUUUAAAUGUUAAUUCUUGCAUCCUAGGGUUUGACCUUUUGGUUCACGUGGUGGAUCUAGUAAACCAAACUAGAAUAAAAGUCCAUAAUCAGUCCGGGUAGAAUAUAGUAUUCUAUACUUGCAUGCUAGUAUUAAUCAUCUUGCAAAACAAAGAAUUAAUGUAUAAUCUACCCCUAAUUCUAAUUUAUAGUUUUGUAAUUUUCAUUCUCUAAAAUUGGGAUUUUGUUGAAUUGUUGUUUAAGAUAUUGAAUUUAUGUAUGUAUAACGUUGUUGUUACCUAUUAGUUGGCAUCUAUAAUCCUAUGUUAGUGAUCGAAUUCACGAAAAUUGGGUUUGAAGAAGAAUACUCCAAUAACAGUGUGUAUAUGUGUGUAAAAUGGCUUAAUUGAGUCCAAAAUUUGAUGUUCAAUCCUUGAUAGAAUCGGUAAAUUGGUUAUAGAUUGUGUUAGUACAUCAAGAAACUAAAAUGUCGUAGUUGGAAUGGUGUCAAUUGGUUAAGAAUUGAAGGUUUGGUGAUUGAAAUUACUUAAUGUGUGGAAAUUGAAGAAAAUGGCAAAAACAUGAUUUUUAGUCCUCUAGAAUGUGGUUUGUGAUGUUAGUAUUGCUUUAUAAAUAUUUGUUUUUGAGAUUAUAAAGCUUAUAACCAUUUGGGUUUCGUUAAUUGGGUAUUGGGUGAAGAAAUUGGGAUUUUUGGCUUAGAAGAGAGACUGUAAUCGUGUUUCUGGAAAACUGAUUCUGGCCCUUGGGCGCGGGCGCGCUGCCGCUCGGACGCAUCAGAUUCAAAGGUUGCUAUGGCGCGGCUGUGCCAGUGGUCAGUCAAGCCCAGUAAUGAGCUGUUAACAGUAUAGUUGGGAAAUGUUAACUUAACCUACUUUAAUGAUUAUAAAAGAACUUAAAACAUAUUAUAAGACGUAAUAAUAUAUUGUAAUCACAAUGUUGAAAUUAUAGAUUAUGAAUUAAUAAGUUGUGAAGGUCCGUGAUGAGAUGUCAUGGGAAUUGAAGUUACUUUGCAAUCACCAUGUUGUGUACUAAAAUAUAAUUGAUAGUUCAAAUUCGUGGUACGUGAAUGAUUAGGAUAAUAAAGUCUUAAGUUAAAGAUUGUAGAUUUGACUAAAAAAUGAAAAGUAAACCAAUGAAGUUAGUGUUAAUAUAACUAAUUGGUAUUGUGAUCUUAAUGGUAUGUGUAGGAUAUUUGACGAACAUUGGUAUUAAUUGUGUAACUUACACACGAGGCAAGUUUCCUAAACCCUAAUCUUAUGUUGAGCAAAUUCCUUGGUUCUACCAUGUUUACGAUUAUGCAAGUUGUUGUAUUCUAAUUCUUUUACAUUGAGCAUGUCCCUAACUUUUAUUUCUUGCUCUUCAAAGCAUAAACUAUUCCAGUUCAUUGUUUCAAAUGAGAUUUUCUAAUUUCUUUGGAUGUAACACUUUGUAUAUACCAUGUCUAUUCAAUCAUAAAUUGUUGAUAUUCAAUCUUCGACUUAGUUAUUGUUGUUCAAACUUAUGUUAUUGAGAUUAAACCUUUGAAUAACUAAUAAACCUUUGUUGUUUGAACUAAUCCAUAAUUGAUGAGUGUUCUAAAAUUGUAGAAUCAUUGUUAAGCUAUUCCAAACUAAACUUUUUUUAGUGUGGAAAUCCUAAAGUUAGACUGAGAUGAACAACUUUAAUAUAGGGGAUUAUGUACACGUUAGCGUUUAGAUGUUUGUGCACAAUACAUGGUAUAAAGGUCUAAUCCCCCUAAGUACGAAAGGUAAGGUCUGUAUAGUCUAAUGACUGUUAAAGGUUGAAGUAGAAAUACUUAAUAACCUCGAGACAUAGUUCAUGGUCUUAAAGACCCUUAGAUGUAAAUCCUAAGCUUGUUUUCUAUUCUUGAUUCGUAGAACAAGUUCUCUAAUAUUUAGUAUUCAAUGCUUAGCCUUAUGUUGUUGCUCUUAUCAUUCUUUAUAUUAGUGAGCAAUUGUUUGCUCACUCUUGCAUUUAACACUGCAGCUAAAGUUGAGAAAGUUGAUGAGCUGUCUUCUAGCAAAGGCAAGGGCAAAAUGUCCAAAUGAUGAAGAACUAUUUAAUUUUAUUUUUGAACUUAUAAUAUGAGACUUAAAUUAUUUUGUGAUGUAUUCCACAGACUUAUGUAAUAGUUUAAGAUUAGAUUACCUGAGAUUUAUUUUAAGAUGAUGUAACCCUUUAAUGGGGAGGAUUAUUAUUUUAAUUGUUUAAAUUAUGUUUUAAUCCUUGAUAUGGGUAGUAAGAUGUUAGUAUUUUGGAAAGUGAGCACCGGAUCCUGUGGGAAUGGAGUACCCGAAUUUGGGGGUGUCACAGGUUGGUAUCAAAGCAUUUGGUUAUGAACCUUAGGUGGGGGAACCUUAGGAAGUAACCUUUAAGGAGACAGAAAAUGUAGUGGUGUCAAACUCAUAUCGAGUUCUAAGAAAUGGAUUAAGGCAUCCAUUAAAGAUAAACAAUAAAAGACUUUAUGUGCUAUGUUUUAAUAACUUAUGUGCUCGCGAGUAUCAAAGAGUGUUACAUAAUAAAUAAAACUUAAAAAUGUUUUGUUGUCAGGAUGUCUAAUGUUGAAGGAUCCAGUCAAGCUAGGGAAGGGAAGUGAUACCUUGGACAUCUAGGGAUAAGGAACCCCGAGACGUUCAUGUGGUUCAAAAACAGUUGAUUCAGAAAGGAGCCUUCUCUAUUGGUCAUUGAGGAAGAAUAAGAGGAUGAGCCUGUGUCUGAUCCUGAGGAGGAGAAAUCUAAGGAGAUAGAGGUGGAGGAUGAGGAAGAGGAUCCUGUGGAGUUUCCACCAAACUCUAUAUCAGCCGAGAUGUAUGAUGAGCUAUACGACCGUAACAUAGAAUUACAAGAUAAGAUUGAGGAGCUGAAGGAGUUAGCUGAGAUGCGUUAGGCUACUAUAGAGCAGAAGGAUGCCGAGAUUCAAGAACUUGACUCACGACUUGGGAACACAGAAUGGAACCUAGUUCACACAGAGGGACAUCAAGAGGAGCUGUUGGCUGAGAAUGAGAAGAUAAAGACUGAAGUGGAAAAGCUGAAAGUUGACUUGAAUGAAGAGUCAGCUAAGCGUGCGAGAAAAGAGGAAGCUUGGAUGAAGGCUACUCAGUGUGCAGAUCGUGAUGAAGUUAAGGUUCAAACGAAGAAGACUAAGAUGAAUGAAAUGGAUUUUGCCUUUCAUUCUGCGAUUGAUAGGGCCCAAGAUCGAGUCUUUUGCUACCCACCUCAAUUUAAAGACUUGCCAUGGUUCAUGAUGGAUCGUAGGAUUACAUAUCGUAUUAUGGAGGAAGAGCGUAGAGAAGCCUCUCGACGUCUUAAUAUGCCAAGAUAGAAAGAAUAAUAAUAAUAAUAAUAUGUGAUUAGGUAUGUGAAUAAAUAAAUUGUAUAUCCCUUAUUUUGAGAUAAUAAAGGGAGUAGUAUGAGUAUGUAAUCCUGAAACUUGUCUAGUUCAAGAAAUUGGAGGUCAAUAGUAGAGAUGCUAUCCUUAUUAUGUUUUGGAAAAUUAUGAAUGAAUAAAUAUCAAAGUUUAUUGAAAUGUUAUAUGUUAUAGCUUUAGUCUUAGAAUGUUUAAGUUAAACUUUAAAUAUUUAAGAAGUUGAGUAAUGAACUAAUAAGCGUAUAUUUUAACAAAAACUGCCUCCCAGAAGAAGACAACUACGCCAACAACCACCUCCUGAGGGGUCUAGUAACAAUAAUAACGAGGCCAACGCUAACCUGGUUUAGAAGUCGGUGAUUUUGUUAACGGGAGCAGUUUCAAAUCAGCCGCAAGCUCAAGUUACAACUUUCAAGGACUUCAAAGUGGUUGGAUCGCCGGAGUUUCAAGGGUCUAUAAAUCCAGUUGAAGCCCAAAACUGGAUCAUGGAAAUGGAGAAGGUGUUCGAUGUUGCCAAAGUCAAUGAGGAUCAGACGAUCGCUUUCGAGACAUUUAUGUUGAAGUCUGAAGCUAGUUAUUGGUGGCAGGCGAAUAAGGUUCGUGGGGGACAGGGAAUAAUAUCAUGGGAUAGGUUUAAAGAAAUGUUAUUCGAGAUGUAUUUCUCGACGAGUCCUCAAAAUCAGAUGGAAGUUCAAUUCUUAGAAUUUAAGCAAGGAACCAUGACUGUGCCUGAGUAUGCUGCAAAGUUUAAUGAGCUGUCAAGGUUUUCUCCAUACCAAUUUAAUACCGAUGAGCGUAAGGCGAUAAGAUUUGAACAAGGGUUGAAGCCCUGGAUUUAUAGCAAGGUUUCAAUGUUCCAGUUAAACACGUUUGCGACUGUAUUGGAAAAGGCAAUUAUCGCAGAGGGUGGAAGCGAUGCCUUAUCCAAGUAUAACCAAUAAUACAAGAAGAGGAAGAAUGAGAAUGAAAACAUUGUUGGUGGAAGCAGUAAUGGAGGUAACAGCCAGAAGAGGAAGUGGAGUGAGAAUUCGAGUGCGGGAGGACAACAAGGAAGUCUACAAAAGAAGAAAUUUAAAGCUUGUGCUACUUGCGGGAAGAACCACACUGGGGUGUGUUUAAAGGGUAAGAGGGUGAGUUUUAAUUGUGGCAAGGAGGGUCACAUUGCACCAAAAUGUUUUAGCCCAAAGAAGGGAGCAUGUCUCACCUGCGGGUCAAAGGAUCACAUGGCUCGUGAGUGCCCUAAAAAGACAGUUGGAAGUGCAAGUGGAGGAAAGUGAAACAACGGUGGUGGUACAUUAACUAUCAAUGGACCAACGCAAUCAAGUCGACCUACUGCGAGGACUUUCAAUAUGACCAUGCAGGAUGCUGUGCAGUCAAAGGAUGUGGUGUCAGGUAUCAUUCCGAUUAAUGGUAUUAAUGCUUAUGUGAUAUUUGAUUCGGGUGCUACUUGUUCAUUUAUAUCCGAUGAUUUUGCUCAGAACUUAGAGUUGCCUCAGGAAGAAUUAGAAUUUCCUUUUAAGUAUAGAAAUUGCAAAUAGGGAAGUGAUUUCUGUUAGAUUUAUAUAUAAGAAUUGUAGAGUGGUUUUAAAAGGUCAUGAGAUAAUGGUAGAUUUGAUACCAAUUAAACUUGGGGAAUUUGAUGUCAUACUGGGAAUGGAUUAGUUAUUCAAUUAUGGGGCAGUAAUUGAUUACCAAAAGAAAUAUGUUAACCUUAUGACUCCGUCAAAGGUGGUGUUUUAUGGAAACAAGUUACCUCGACAAGUAAGUUGUCUGACGGUGAUACAAGCCAAGAAGUUACUGAGACAAGGAUGUGUAGGAUACUUAGCUUACAUAGUCGAUACACAGAAGAAAAGUGCGAAGUUGGAAGAGAUACCGGUCAUUAGAGAUUUUGCAGACGUAUUUCUAGACGAUUUGCCUAGACUUCUGCCAGAUCGAGAAAUUGAGUUCGUGAUUGAUUUGGUGACAGGAAUGGCCGUGAUAUAUAAAGCUUAAUAUAGAAUGGCCCCAGUAGAGAUGAAGGAGUUGAUGGUACAGUUGCAAGAAUUAAUAGACAAGAAGUAUAUUCAUCCAAGUGUAUCACCAUGGGGAGCGCUUGUGUUAUUUGUUAAGAAGAAAGAUGGGUCGAUACGGCUCUGCAUUUAUUACUUAUUGGAUAUCAAUUCACGAGAACUAUGCCCAUCUCAAGUACAUUUUAGUGUGUUUUUAGUUGCAUUUCGUGUUAUUUUGCAUUGCAUGUACUGAGAACUCGUCUGGUGUGAAAAUGUAGGAAAUGGUAUAGCUCGGCGUUGAUAGGUGGCAUGAGAUCAGUGAAGGCAUGACACGAGGGUCGAGUGGAGAAAAGAAAUUAAGCAUUGAUGGACAAAGAAGAAAUAGUAGCAUGUCAAAGGAUCAUUAAUAGCAUGAUAAGGAAGCAGCAAUAGCAGAACACAAGAAUGCAGAUUGCAGGAACCACGCGGCCGCGCGACUGUAUAAGCUGGAACACGCACGCUUGCGCCAUCAACCGGAAAGAGCUUAUUUUGCAUACACGCGCGCCCACGCCUAUUUUGUAUGGGGAUCUCGCGCGGCCGCGCGCGUCAUCGAUUGCAGUUGUUGUCUUUUUUGUAAUUUUGAAAUUUGAAGUGUUUGGGUUGGUAUAAACUACUCUGGUUGGUACCAGACGCGAUUUAUCUUUAGCUUUUAUCAGUUUUUCAUAAUAUAGAACUAGGGUUCUACGUUUUGAACGAAUUCCAACGAGGAUCCAAGCAUAGACUUAAUAUUUUAUACUUCUUCUUUAGAAUUCAAUCAUUGAUUACGAACAACUUUUAUGUUGUUGGAGAUUAUUGAGGAUUUGAACAGAACUCUUGGAAUAUAAUCAGCAAUUGGGUUCGAUCGAUUCUAUAUUCUCUCUCAAUUGUUUUUAUUUAUUUUCCAUGUGUUGCUUUAAUCCCAUACUGGCUUUCGGUUCAGCGAUGAACUAAUCUCCAUUAUGGGAUUCUAACGGAUUUUGAUAUGUAGUCUAAUUGAUGGCUUGAUUGCUUGAUUGUUUUUGUAUCAUCAGAAUUUCUAUUAUGAUUGAUUCGAUUGCAUGAAUGCUUGAUCGCCAUUCAUUUUAUGUACUUGUAUGGAAUUGAAAAAUGACAUGCAAGUAUGGUUAUAAUCAUGAUAGCAUGCGUGUAUGAGGCUGAAUUAUCUAGCUUUAUAUUUUGUGAAUCAGAUAGAAAUAUACUAUUUCACCGUGUGUAGUAACAUAAGGGCUUGUGCUUAAAUUUAAUAUGGCUGUAAUUUCACAUAGAAAUAUAGUGAUUUUGGUUUUAUUGAUGAUUACAUGAUUUCUAUUAUAUGUGGAUAUUAUGUAAGUAGGUCAUAAUACAUUGAAAAAUGGUUAUGUCUACAUUCGUGCUCUUGGCUAAUUUUCUGUGGUACGUGAAUAAUCUUGCAUGAUGGUGGUAUUUAGAUGAAUUAUUAAAUGAAGUUAGGAUCCCAUUAUUUCCAGAUUUGAUUUAUUAUUCUAUUUUUCUUCUUUUAGUUAUUAUUUGAGUUUAGAGUAAUUCAAAAUCAUAAGCGUUUGUUUAAGCAUAUAAAAAUAGUGAUAUAGUUGAUGCAUAAUAAUUUAAUUUUGAAACCUUUCUCCAUGGAUCGAUACUUUACUUACUCUAUAUUACUUGUUGACCCAUGUAUGCUUGCAUGAGUUAGAGUCCUUUUGUUAGAACUAAAAAGGAGGUAACAAGUUUUUGGCGCCGUUGCCGGGGAAAGGCGUUUAAAUUUAGUAUUAUUAUCAUCAGUUUUAAGCUAUAUUGUAUGACUUAGACAAAUCUAAUCUUAUAUCAUUUCUAUUUUUGUCUUUGUUUUUGUUUCAGGUACUUCUAUAUAUUUUAUGCACACGCGAUCAUCCAAUUUCGAAUUGAUACCAGUAUAGGACAACAUAAACGGGAGAGGUUGGAAAGCGAAAGUGCGUAGAAAUUUACAAGCAGAAUUAGAAGGAACAACAUCUAAUAUGGCAGCCGAAGGACAAAGAGAAGAUCAAAGAGAGGAGCA